rnacentral:pre_miRNA from 1 species
GAGGAGUUUCCUUUAGUCCAAGAUCGAGGGCUGAGAAGCGGCUAGAGCUGCCAUCUCAUGCAUUCGGUUAAACUCAACAUUUCUAGUCGAAAUGGAGAUGCAUGCUUAAGAGAAAGUAAUUACACGACCGGAAAAAAAAAAGCAAAGAAUGUUUAAAGUUUUAACCAGUGCAUGAGGCGGGAGCAACUCCUUCCGUUUGCUUUGUCCGCUGAUUGGACUGAAGGGAGCUCCUA